rnacentral:lncRNA from 1 species
AUGCUCCGCCCCCUCUGCAGCUCCGCCCCGCCUCACCUUCAGAGGAGUCCACAGUCUGCGCGUCAGCCGCCUUCGCUCCAUCGGCUCCAGCCAGCCGGUCUUUGUGCAGCCGUGUUGGAGAUGAGCAGCUGUGGGGUUUUUCUUCAUCAUCGUCCUCCUCUUCUGCUGUCUGGUGAGCCUCCUCUUCAUCCUGGCUGGUCCACGGCUCCUCUUCCUCUUUCACGUCAGGAGCUUCUGUGUGCGAUUGGUCGGGGCUGCAGCUCCACUGAGGCUCGCUUUUCACCCCCGUCCCGUUCUGAGCAUCUGAGGACGACAGAACGUUUUCUGAUGCAUCAGAUUAAAGUCCUCCAGCAGUUCUGUGAUCCGACUCAUUCUGGAGAACCUCGGUACAGAGCUUACCUCGCGGUUUCCCGCCGCCAUCCAGCAGGUGGCGCUGACGGUCCGCAGCUUCUUCACAGAAGUCUUUCCCUUUGGUGACGGUUCCUUCUCCGGUCACCGUGAGGACCACGACGCCGCCGUUCUCCUGCUUCAGGACGUGCUGCUGCGGCGGAGCGCGGCGGGCGCCGCCCUGCUCAGCCAGAGGAACGUCCUCCUCCUCCUCCUCCUCCUCCAUUUUGAUCCUCUUCAGCUCUGGUUCCUCAGUCUGAAGAUGUUCUGGUUUCCUCAGCUCCUGCUUCACUGCCGUCUCCGGGUCAUUCCGAGCCUCCUCCUCCGUACGGUCCAGGCCCGGGAGUUCUGGAAAGACAAAAGCAGACGGGACUUAAACGCUGACGCUCCUCCUGUGUUCUCCUAAAGUUUCCUCCUUUGUUGGGAUGUUCUCCUGCAUCAUCAGGACCUCCUUGUGAGGAAACACUUUCUGAAGAGGGACUGUCAUAAAAAUGCUGUUUUCAGAGUCAAAAACGAAUCUCACUGUAGGGAUUUAGAGGAUCUUAACACUUUCAGAGUUAACUAGAGAACCAACACGCUUUUUAAAUUAAUCCAGUGUUUUUCUUUUCCUACUCAGAGGUAAGACGCUUUGAUCUCUGAGGCUCCGCCUUUCCCUCGCCUUUUCAUGACAUCAUCCCAGACCCGGCCUCGGAGGCGUGUCUGUAAGACAACCAUCUAAAAAUGAUCCGACUGAGGAAUUUUAUAAACAAUUUAGCAACAAAGUCGCUCCCUUCCUGACUCGGGUCUUCUUAGAGAGGACACAAAAUCCAUCCUCCCUCCAACGGUAAAUGUGAGGCGUAUUCACCCCGACGUCCUGGAAAAUGUACGUCUAUUUGAACAGAAACUAGAUAUCAGCUGUUCGUAAAUGACGACGCUGAAGUUGGCUUCCGAUUCACAGCUUCCGAUUCACGAGAGUAUUCCACUGUGUUUUUUGCACUCUGACCACAAAUCAUCCUAUUUCUAAUUUUCACAAAUCAGAAACUAUUCUUAAUUUAUUCUUUGGUGUCUAAAGCAUAAUUUAAUCCAUGUUUGAACUGUCUAGGUGCUGUAGUUUUUGAACAGGACUUGUUUUUGAAUGGUCAGAGUGCAAAAAAUACAAUAAAAUCACAAUAUUUCUCAUUUUCACAAAUCAGUAAAAGCUUUCACAAAUCAGAAACUAUUUUUAAUUUAUUCUUUAUUGUCUAAAGAAUAAUUUAAUCCAUGUUUGAACUGUCUAGGUGCUGUAGUUUUUGAACAGGACUUGUUUUUAGGUGGUCAGAGUGCAAAAAACACAGUGGAAUACUCUCGCCAAUCGGAAGCUGUGAAUCGGAAGCCAACUUCAGCGUCGUUUGUAAAUGUUAUAUUACAAAAGUCUUGAUUCAUAAAUUCAGAUGAAAUGUGAGCAUUUCAUAUUUGGCCAACAUGAAAAGAACUCUAAAUGUAACAUAUAUUUGAAAAUUAAUUAUAUUUGAUAAGUUUUAUAUUCACAAAUAUCUUGUAAUAAUUAAGUAAUUACUAUCUAAUUUACCAUUUUUGAUAGUCAAUAACAAUAUGCAGCCGUCUGUGUUUUCUCCAUAUUCUCUCCUUUCCUCUCUUUGUUUCUACCUUCCCAGUUGUUCUUUCCAAUUCCUCCAUUUUAUUCCAAACUAUCCUCCUACUUGGCUCCGGUUCUGAUAGUCUGAUAGUAGGAACGGCGCCGGCUUGGAGGUUCAGCCUCCCGGACAGUCCGUUCCGGUACGGUCCGAGGUUAGCUAGGCAGUCCUCCCGGAAAUGGCGGUCGCAGACAAACAGCUGCUGGCCGCUGUGCCGCGCGCUGCCGAAGAUAAACUCCUCCCACUUCUGGCGCGUGGGCUCUUCUCUGGGAAGGCCGAACAAACUGCGGAAACUCUCGCAGCCGAAAACACAUUUCCGCCACUUAGAAGAAGACAUCGUUCUGCGCUGAAAGCGGUAGCGUCUCAGGCAGGGGGGCGGGGCCUGCAGCGCCACUCCCCCACGUUCGUACGUAGGAACGGGGGGGCCAAUCGGUGAGCGUGUUUGACCGAUUGGUGCGCGGUGCAUGCUGGUUAGUGUUUUUUUUCUUAAACUUUAUUAACAACAUGAUACAACAACAAAGUGUAACAAUGAGAAUAUAUUAUAGAAAAACAAACAAACAAAAAUUAUAACAUAUAUGAGAAAAAAGAAACAAAUAUCCAGAAAACCUUGGGGUUAAAUAUAGAUUACAUUUUUCAAAAAUCAAAUUAGUUCUGAUGACCUUUUUGUUGAUCUGAGUUCUGGUUAAUUUCAUUCAAGAAAUGUUGGAAUCAGAUUUUGGAGUCUCACCACUUGUUCUUAUGAAUAUGGAAUUUGGCC